rnacentral:misc_RNA from 1 species
GCAAACUUGGUCAUUUAGAGGAAGUAAAAGUCGUAACAAGGUUUCCGUAGGUGAACCUGCGGAAGGAUCAUUAUUAUUUGGGUUGGGUUUACUUUUAAAAAAUAUUUUUAUUUCGAUCUCGUUCUUAUCUUUAUUUUGAAAAAGUAAACUUUUUCCAAAUAAAAAUUUGAAAUUCAGAACGUCUUUUUUAUAUUCUCUACCCUAUUUAUUAGGGAGGAGCAAGAUGACUUUACUUAAAACCAUUACUCUUAUAAAAUGUUAUUUUUCAAUAAUAUAAUAUUAAAAGAUCACUUUCAACAACGGAUCUCUUGGCUCUCGCAUCGAUGAAGAACGCAGC